rnacentral:rRNA from 1 species
CUGGCGGCGUAGCCUAACACAUGCAAGUCGAACGAUCUUUGAUUAUAGCAAUAUUAUUAAAGAGGAGUGGCGAACGGGUGAGUAACACGUAGAUAAUCUGCCUUCAGACGGGGACAACUCAGGGAAACUUGUGCUAAUACCCGAUGAGACCACAAGAAGGGAUUUCUGUGGCCAAAGGCGGGCAGCAAUGCUCGUGCUGAAAGAUGAGUCUGCGUCCUAUCAGCUAGUUGGUGGGGUAAAUGCCUACCAAGGCUAAGACGGGUAGCCGGCCUGAGAGGGCGAACGGCCACACUGGGACUGAGACACGGCCCAGACUCCUACGGGAGGCAGCAGUGAGGAAUUUUCCGCAAUGGGCGCAAGCCUGACGGAGCGACGCCGCGUGAGGGAUGAACCAGCUUUCGGGUUGUAAACCUCUUUUAUUAAGGAAAAAGAUCUAUAUGCUAAUAUCAUGUAGAUUUGAUGGUACUUAUUGAAUAAGCCCCGGCUAACUACGUGCCAGCAGCCGC